rnacentral:rRNA from 1 species
UUAAGCGACUAAGCGUACACGGUGGAUGCCCUGGCAGUCAGAGGCGAUGAAGGACGUGCUAAUCUGCGAUAAGCGUCGGUAAGGUGAUAUGAACCGUUAUAACCGGCGAUUUCCGAAUGGGGAAACCCAGUGUGAUUCGUCACACUAUCAUUAACUGAAUCCAUAGGUUAAUGAGGCGAACCGGGGGAACUGAAACAUCUAAGUACCCCGAGGAAAAGAAAUCAACCGAGAUUCCCCCAGUAGCGGCGAGCGAACGGGGAGCAGCCCAGAGCCUGAAUCAGUGUGUGUGUUAGUGGAAGCGUCUGGAAAGGCGCGCGAUACAGGGUGACAGCCCCGUACACAAAAAUGCACAUGCUGUGAGCUCGAUGAGUAGGGCGGGACACGUGGUAUCCUGUCUGAAUAUGGGGGGACCAUCCUCCAAGGCUAAAUACUCCUGACUGACCGAUAGUGAACCAGUACCGUGAGGGAAAGGCGAAAAGAACCCCGGCGAGGGGAGUGAAAAAGAACCUGAAACCGUGUACGUACAAGCAGUGGGAGCCUCUUUAUGGGGUGACUGCGUACCUUUUGUAUAAUGGGUCAGCGACUUAUAUUCUGUAGCAAGGUUAACCGAAUAGGGGAGCCGAAGGGAAACCGAGUCUUAACUGGGCGUUAAGUUGCAGGGUAUAGACCCGAAACCCGGUGAUCUAGCCAUGGGCAGGUUGAAGGUUGGGUAACACUAACUGGAGGACCGAACCGACUAAUGUUGAAAAAUUAGCGGAUGACUUGUGGCUGGGGGUGAAAGGCCAAUCAAACCGGGAGAUAGCUGGUUCUCCCCGAAAGCUAUUUAGGUAGCGCCUCGUGAAUUCAUCUCCGGGGGUAGAGCACUGUUUCGGCAAGGGGGUCAUCCCGACUUACCAACCCGAUGCAAACUGCGAAUACCGGAGAAUGUUAUCACGGGAGACACACGGCGGGUGCUAACGUCCGUCGUGAAGAGGGAAACAACCCAGACCGCCAGCUAAGGUCCCAAAGUCAUGGUUAAGUGGGAAACGAUGUGGGAAGGCCCAGACAGCCAGGAUGUUGGCUUAGAAGCAGCCAUCAUUUAAAGAAAGCGUAAUAGCUCACUGGUCGAGUCGGCCUGCGCGGAAGAUGUAACGGGGCUAAACCAUGCACCGAAGCUGCGGCAGCGACACUAUGUGUUGUUGGGUAGGGGAGCGUUCUGUAAGCCUGUGAAGGUGUACUGUGAGGUAUGCUGGAGGUAUCAGAAGUGCGAAUGCUGACAUAAGUAACGAUAAAGCGGGUGAAAAGCCCGCUCGCCGGAAGACCAAGGGUUCCUGUCCAACGUUAAUCGGGGCAGGGUGAGUCGACCCCUAAGGCGAGGCCGAAAGGCGUAGUCGAUGGGAAACAGGUUAAUAUUCCUGUACUUGGUGUUACUGCGAAGGGGGGACGGAGAAGGCUAUGUUGGCCGGGCGACGGUUGUCCCGGUUUAAGCGUGUAGGCUGGUUUUCCAGGCAAAUCCGGAAAAUCAAGGCUGAGGCGUGAUGACGAGGCACUACGGUGCUGAAGCAACAAAUGCCCUGCUUCCAGGAAAAGCCUCUAAGCAUCAGGUAACAUCAAAUCGUACCCCAAACCGACACAGGUGGUCAGGUAGAGAAUACCAAGGCGCUUGAGAGAACUCGGGUGAAGGAACUAGGCAAAAUGGUGCCGUAACUUCGGGAGAAGGCACGCUGAUAUGUAGGUGAAGCGACUUGCUCGUGGAGCUGAAAUCAGUCGAAGAUACCAGCUGGCUGCAACUGUUUAUUAAAAACACAGCACUGUGCAAACACGAAAGUGGACGUAUACGGUGUGACGCCUGCCCGGUGCCGGAAGGUUAAUUGAUGGGGUUAGCGGUAACGCGAAGCUCUUGAUCGAAGCCCCGGUAAACGGCGGCCGUAACUAUAACGGUCCUAAGGUAGCGAAAUUCCUUGUCGGG